CCUACGGGAGGCUGCAGUGGGGAAUAUUGCACAAUGGGGGAAACCCUGAUGCAGCGACGCCGCGUGAGCGAUGAAGUAUUUCGGUAUGUAAAGCUCUAUCAGCAGGGAAGAAAAUGACGGUACCUGACUAAGAAGCCCCGGCUAACUACGUGCCAGCAGCCGCGGUAAUACGUAGGGGGCAAGCGUUUUCCGGAUUUACUGGGUGUAAAGGGAGCGUAGACGGUCCUGCAAGCCAGAGGUGAAAGCCCGGGGCUCAACCCCGGGACUGCAUUUGGAAAUGAAAGGCUAGAGUGUCGGAGAGGCGGGCGAAAUGCGUGGUGUAGCGGUGAAAUGGUUAGAUAUGAGGAGGAACACCAGUGGCGAAGGCGGCCUGCUGGACGAUGACUGACGUUGAGGCUCGAAAGCGUGGGGAGCAAACAGGAUUAGAUACCCGGGUAGUC
rnacentral:rRNA from 1 species